rnacentral:tRNA from 1 species
AUUAUAGGCACCAAGCAAUUCAAAGUGCCCACACAGUUUGUUUUCGAAUGAUGAAUAAAUCCUAAGCUUCUGAAAGGAAGCAAAUGCUUGAUAAAGCGAGAGCGAAGCGCGAGCAUAAAGCUAACGCGAGUCGAAGCAUUUUUGCGAGGAUUUUUGUUUUAGUCGAGGCGUAGGCGCGAGUACGCGAAGGAACAUACAUUGGUAUGUGACUGAGUAAUAGAGUGCAUAAAGCGAAGAGUAAAAUAAAGAGCCGAAGUAAAAAUUGGGGUCGUAGCUCAGCUGGGAGAGCACCUGCCUUGCACGCAGGGGGUCAGGAGUUCGAUCCUCCUCGGCUCCACCAAUACUCAGGAUUAUUCAGGGUUUGUUCAGAUUAAAAUGCUUUUUUAUGAGAGUGUUUUAAUCUGGAAUAACCAGACGUUCAUUAAAAAUUUGGUAAAUAAAGAGGUAACACAAGCGUACUUGUAUUGAAACAGCAAAGCCGUAUGAUUUUGAGGUAAUUGAGAUUAUAU